CCGCCUGCUGGUGGAGCCCCGCCAGAACUGACAUAGACUCGUCCAGCCUCCAGGUGCACCCACGCCCUUUUCUUGCACCAAGAAGCUGAGCAGCCUCUCUCUACUCUCUGUGACCGUCCUCUUUGGCCUCCGCAUGGUUCAGCCUGGAAUCCUGAAGAGUGUGACUGCACCGAAACCUGGAUAUUGCCCAGAGUUUACUCUAUCCUGCCCUUUCACCCUCUUACCUGUGUGCUGCACUAUAAAGCCUGCCUGGGGAUCGAGAAGUAUUGCUUCUUCAACUGUCAACAUCAGUGUACAGAGCUUUGGUGGACUUUGGAUUGAGGUGGAAACUCCUUAGCCAAGCCUGAGGAGACGCUGGUGCUACAGGCUCUGAUUUGGAUAACUGGUCUCCAAUUUGUCCAUGAUCUUCCCAGGCCCAAGAUGUCAUUUCAGAGUUAAAUGCUUGUUAAUAUGACAAGAAGACAAAGAGAUAAAGCAUUGUAUAUUUAAAACCACAGAAAAAUCUGUAAGACUG
rnacentral:lncRNA from 1 species